GAUGAACGCUGGCGGCGUGCCUAAUACAUGCAAGUCGAGCGAACGGACGAGAAGCUUGCUUCUCUGAUGUUAGCGGCGGACGGGUGAGUAACACGUGGAUAACCUACCUAUAAGACUGGGAUAACUUCGGGAAACCGGAGCUAAUACCGGAUAAUAUUUUGAACCGCAUGGUUCAAAAGUGAAAGACGGUCUUGCUGUCACUUAUAGAUGGAUCCGCGCUGCAUUAGCUAGUUGGUAAGGUAACGGCUUACCAAGGCAACGAUGCAUAGCCGACCUGAGAGGGUGAUCGGCCACACUGGAACUGAGACACGGUCCAGACUCCUACGGGAGGCAGCAGUAGGGAAUCUUCCGCAAUGGGCGAAAGCCUGACGGAGCAACGCCGCGUGAGUGAUGAAGGUCUUCGGAUCGUAAAACUCUGUUAUUAGGGAAGAACAUAUGUGUAAGUAACUGUGCACAUCUUGACGGUACCUAAUCAGAAAGCCACGGCUAACUACGUGCCAGCAGCCGCGGUAAUACGUAGGUGGCAAGCGUUAUCCGGAAUUAUUGGGCGUAAAGCGCGCGUAGGCGGUUUUUUAAGUCUGAUGUGAAAGCCCACGGCUCAACCGUGGAGGGUCAUUGGAAACUGGAAAACUUGAGUGCAGAAGAGGAAAGUGGAAUUCCAUGUGUAGCGGUGAAAUGCGCAGAGAUAUGGAGGAACACCAGUGGCGAAGGCGACUUUCUGGUCUGUAACUGACGCUGAUGUGCGAAAGCGUGGGGAUCAAACAGGAUUAGAUACCCUGGUAGUCCACGCCGUAAACGAUGAGUGCUAAGUGUUAGGGGGUUUCCGCCCCUUAGUGCUGCAGCUAACGCAUUAAGCACUCCGCCUGGGGAGUACGACCGCAAGGUUGAAACUCAAAGGAAUUGACGGGGACCCGCACAAGCGGUGGAGCAUGUGGUUUAAUUCGAAGCAACGCGAAGAACCUUACCAAAUCUUGACAUCCUUUGACAACUCUAGAGAUAGAGCCUUCUCCUUCGGGGGACAAAGUGACAGGUGGUGCAUGGUUGUCGUCAGCUCGUGUCGCGAGAUGUUGGGUUAAGUCCCGCAACGAGCGCAACCCUUAAGCUUAGUUGCCAUCAUUAAGUUGGGCACUCUAAGUUGACUGCCGGUGACAAACCGGAGGAAGGUGGGGAUGACGUCAAAUCAUCAUGCCCCUUAUGAUUUGGGCUACACACGUGCUACAAUGGACAAUACAAAGGGCAGCGAAACCGCGAGGUCAAGCAAAUCCCAUAAAGUUGUUCUCAGUUCGGAUUGUAGUCUGCAACUCGACUACAUGAAGCUGGAAUCGCUAGUAAUCGUAGAUCAGCAUGCUACGGUGAAUACGUUCCCGGGUCU
rnacentral:rRNA from 1 species